rnacentral:rRNA from 1 species
GACGCUGGCGGCGUGCCUAACACAUGCAAGUCGAACGAGGUCCAUCCUUCGGGAGAAGACCUAGUGGCGAACGGGUGAGUAACACGUGAAGAACCUGCCCCGAAGACCGGGAUAACCCUCCGAAAGGAGAGCUAAUACCGGAUACCCCCACCGAACCGCAUGGUUUGGUGAGGAAAUGGAUUCCGCUUCGGGAGGGCUUCGCGGCCUAUCAGCUAGUUGGUGGGGUAACGACCCACCAAGGCAUCGACGGGUAGCUGGUCUGAGAGGACGAUCAGCCACACUGGGACUGAGACACGGCCCAGACUCCUACGGGAGGCAGCAGUGGGGAAUCUUGCGCAAUGGGCGAAAGCCUGACGCAGCAACGCCGCGUGGGGAUGAAGGCUCUCGGGUUGUAAACCCCUUUCAGCAGGGACGAAUCAAGACGGUACCUGCAGAAGAAGCCCCGGCUAACUACGUG